rnacentral:pre_miRNA from 1 species
UUUUUCCGCUAGAUUUAGCGGGGAAACUUUUUCCGCUAGAUUUAGCGGGGAAAUUUUUUCCGCUAGAUUCAGCGGCGAAA